AUAGUCAGAAAUGCAGGC
rnacentral:snRNA from 1 species